UACGUAGGGGGCAAGCGUUGUCCGGAUUUAUUGGGCGUAAAGAGCGUGUAGGCGGCCAGACAGGUCAGCUGUGAAAACUCGAGGCUCAACCUCGAGACGUCGGUUGAAACCGUUUGGCUAGAGUCCGGAAGAGGAGAGUGGAAUUCCCGGUGUAGCGGUGAAAUGCGCAGAUAUCGGGAAGAACACCCGUGGCGAAGGCGGCUCUCUGGGACGGUACUGACGCUGAGGCGCGAAAGCGUGGGGAGCAAACAGG
rnacentral:rRNA from 1 species